UAUUUUUCUCAUCUUUCUCUGUACAGCACUUUGGUUCUAGUCGUGGUGUUGAAAGUGCUUUAUGAAUAAAGUUUGAGUUGAGUCGUGUUGUGCUGCUU